CAUUUGAUUCAAUAAACUGUAUUAAGAUAGUAGUGAACCUUAAUAAUUGACAUUAAUUGACAUUAGUAGUAGUCAUGCUAAGGCUUGGUAGGCCGCAUGUAACCUGCAGAUGAACUAUUAUAGCAGAUUUUGUAAUGUAAGCAGUGUAGUUAAGAGAUAAUCACUUAUCUUAAGGAGUGUAUCCAUUUAUCUAGGGAAUGUACCUUUUGGCAGAAACUUAAAUGUCAGAGAGAUUAUUGUACCAGGUAGUGAGAAUGAAGUAAGAAUUUGUUAUGAUGAAGAAAUCAUGUAAAGAAACAUAUAAAAACCCUGUGAAUUUUCUGUGAGAUGGGGCUCUGUCUUUGGACGCUAGUCCACAGGCUCCCGGGCCCUCAAAAAAGCACCGCAUAAACGACUUCGGUUGUUUGUGUUUUCUUCGGAUCGGGCAACAGUUUUCUGGCGACCGCGGCAGGACUCCGGAGGUGGCUGGGGCGGUUCGCAUUCUGAUCCACUCCACGCCGGCACCGAGUGAUUCUCGGGGAGUCAUCGGUUCGUGCCCGACCCCUGCGCCUGGCGGACGACUGCGAAAGGAGUCAUCGAAAAAGAAACAAAACGCACCAGAAGAGUGAUAAAAGCCUUGACAAGAACUAACGAGAUGCACCUGCCUCCUCCGAAGUAUGAAGUUGCUGUCGGGCAAGAAAAUCCAGCAUUUGAAAGACCCGAUGAUAACUGAGACUUGAGCAUCCUUGCAGAAGACUGAAGAAUGCUCAAAAGGGGGGAAUUGUUGCCAUUUGAUUCAAUAAACUGUAUUAAGAUAGUAGUGAACCUUAAUAAUUGACAUUAAUUGACAUUAGUAGUAGUCAUGCUAAGGCUUGGUAGGCCGCAUGUAACCUGCAGAUGAACUAUUAUAGCAGAUUUUGUAAUGUAAGCAGUGUAGUUAAGAGAUAAUCACUUAUCUUAAGGAGUGUAUCCAUUUAUCUAGGGAAUGUACCUUUUGGCAGAAACUUAAAUGUCAGAGAGAUUAUUGUACCAGGUAGUGAGAAUGAAGUAAGAAUUUGUUAUGAUGAAGAAAUCAUGUAAAGAAACAUAUAAAAACCCUGUGAAUUUUCUGUGAGAUGGGGCUCUGUCUUUGGACGCUAGUCCACAGGCUCCCGGGCCCUCAAUAAAGCACCGCAUAAACGAC